AGAGAUUAAACUGAAGAGUUUGAUCCUGGCUCAGAUUGAACGCUAGCGGGAUGCCUUACACAUGCAAGUCGAACGGCAGCACGGACUUCGGUCUGGUGGCGAGUGGCGAACGGGUGAGUAAUGUAUCGGAACGUGCCCAGUAGCGGGGGAUAACUACGCG
rnacentral:rRNA from 1 species